CGGUGUAAGUUCUCAGCAUACGUUAGAAACCCUGUCACUUAUUUCCUGGAGUGCCGAAUCUUCUGAAGCCCUUAUGACUUUUUCCUUUCCAUUAGGUGACAACAGAACCUCUACCCCCAAACUACUGAAAAAGUAGGGGGUGGAAGAGGGUGUGGGGAGGGUAGGUCUGGAGGUAGGAGUAAUGUGUAAGUUUUCCUUGCUUUUCUGUCACGCAAAGCAGGGGUGACUGGCCCAGGAGAAAGCUCUUGAGGAAGGCCUCACAGUUCCUCACAGCACCCACCGGGGGGCUCUCGAAUGGCAUACAGCUUCGUCUUCCGAGAUGCCCUGCCUACGGGUAGGAUCUGAGGUCCUGCACCUCCAGAGGGUGCCUGCUGCACUGGGCAACACGGCCUAGUCUUCCCCAGCAUACACCCCACCGGGGGCCCUCACGGCUCCUCCCCUACUCCCCCACCCACUGGGUCAGACUGGGUCAGUCUGUCCGCCAGCUCCUAUACUGUCCUGGCUGGCCGGUUGGAAUGCAGCCCACUCUGCCUGCGGCCCAGGGUACUCGAAACCCGAGGACUCGUGUGCCCUGAAGCAGCCCCGGCAGAACUGCUUUCCCAGCAGGAGCCCCGCUGUGGCAGAGAGGACGCCAGCACUCGUGUUCAUACCCAGGCCUUCCUGGCAAGUGGCCUCCGCCGGCACGCAGGGCAUAGAAAGGGGGCAAGCACCAUGGUUAUGGACGAUGUUAAACAUUAGGGAAAACUAGGUGAACAGAAACUACUCUCUGCAACUCUUCUGUGAGUCUAAAAAUUAUUUCGAAAUACCAGACUUUAAAAAGGGGUGGGAGAAGGCGUUGUCCUUCCGGGUAUGUCAGCAGUCUGCCCAGGUGGGGAGGCAGGUUCUGAUACCUACAGGCACUGCUCAGAUGGAGCUCCUCCUUAGAGAUCAAAUGCCCCGCUGUGGCCAGCCUGGGCUCCAGCUCCCGAUGGACAGAGGCAGGGCCUUAGGGAUUGGCUUAUAUCAAACUCAGCCAGAAGGCCCGCCCUCCCCAUUCGGGUCUGGUGUCUCAGUGCCAAGACCACCAAACUCAAACCUCUGCCCUACCCCAUGCAAGAAGGGACUCUGUUCCCAGAAAACUACAGCUGAGUGGGGGAUCAGCUCCAACGGUCCCCUCACCAGCGGGUGUCGCUUGUCCCAGAUAGCCCUUUGACAGCGCCCCUCAGUGAGGGGCAGGUACUCAGAGCUUUGCCACAGGAAUGCAAGUGCACAAGUGUGUGUGUGGUGGUAGAGAGGGCAGCUGGGGGUGUGUGCAGGGGGGUGGUGUAUGUGCACCCAGCUGUGACCCAAAGACCUAGACUAGGUCAGAAAGGCUUAGGUUAGUCUUGGGUGCUGGGCAGCUUUGGAAGGAGCCGAGCAGCUCCUGGGAGAGGUUCCCACCAACCUUUCUUGACUCUGUGCUGGAAGCAGAGACAACAGAUGUUAGAUAACUGGAGGCAUGUGGCCCCCUGUGCCCAACUACCUGCCCACCAAGCCCUGGGGUCUUCUGCAUAGUCACCAGCCCACCGCAACCCCAACCGCCAGACCCCCCAGCCAGCAGUCCCAAGUUCUGGCGCUGCCGUGUUGUACAAGCCAACAGUGCCAUUUACGGGCACUACGCAGAAACCUGCUUCUGGGCAGCAGUGCGCACGUGGGGCGCCAGGCAACAGCAGGGCCAGGGCAGAGAUGACCUGAAGACAUGUGAGCAGAGGCCUUCUCAGCUGAAGGCUCCAACACCUCAGUCAGCCCUACCCUGGAAUCUGAAACCUUUACUUGAACAGCUCAGACAUUUUAAAUGAUUCAUCAAGUGCUUUGAAGUGGCGAUAGAGCAUUAUUAGGCCCUUCCUGUUUGUGUGUACACCUGUACACAGUCCCAACCCAGGAGAGCUAAUAAGGAGAAGCAAACAGAGAGACUGGGCCUCCCGGAGAGUUCUGAUGUUUGGGACUUUUAUGCUGCAGUUACUAGAAGGCUGCCCCUUGGCCUCUCACGGCCCACACCACUGACGGGCACCCAGGACUGCUCCACAACCGCUAAGACCACCAUGGCCAAAAGAGCUCCCAGGAAGUACCCUCAGCAGAGGUGAUGGCUUUGCCAGAGGCAGGAGCCUUAUAGUCUGUGCUCAGCUGCUCUCGCCCAGUCUUGAGAAUCUAAGACCAACAGAAGAAAGCCAGACUUGCAGGAGGUAUCAGAGGACGCCAAAACAGCCCUCCUACUGCUCAGACCAAGAGGUAGGGAGGGGCAGAUCUUUAAGCAUUUUAGCACUGAGCAAGAUCUCAAGAUAGCCAUAGGGAUGGAUCCUGUUCCUUCCAUGCAAGUGGCAGAGAGGAGAGCACACAACUUGCCGAGGACUCACUUCAGCUUUGCUUGGAUGCGCGUGUGCAGAGGGAUCACUUACUACUCAGGACAAGGAGCUACACUGAUGAGAAAAGAUGUUCUAAAGGCGGUACCACUGUGCCACCUGCCCUCAGAGCCCACGAGUUCCAGAAAAGGACACAUCCUAAAAUCCAGAUUAAAGAUUAAAAGGCCAAGAACAGACAAGCAAGUUCUGAAGAGGAAAAGGGAACAGAAGGCAGCGGGCCGGAGGGAGCACGUGGGGCCCGGCCGCUCAGUCCAAGGUGUCCAGGAGGCAGCAGCAGCAGAGGGCGGCCCAGCACGCGGCCAGGGCUGCCUCACAUCCGGUGUCCGUCUUCCUUUCCCGUUCCAUCACGUACACUGGGGGCGGGUCGGGGCAGGGGAGAGAGAGACCCGGUCAGAGGGGCGUCCCACGCAGCCGGCAGGCAGCACCGGCCACGGAAGACUCCAGAGGGCCGGCUCCGGGAGGCGGGGAGCCACGCCUGUCUGGUUCACGGCUCCAUCUCUGCUCCGGUGCCUGGCACACGUCCGGAACUCGUGUGCGAAUGCAGGGGACAUCUGCUCAGCACCUGUCAGACCACGGUUUCCCGCCACCUCCCCUUCCCCGAGCUACAUGAAACCCAACCCAGCACCGUAUUUGAUGCUUGUCCGAAGUGAUCCAGUUCGUAGAGAGCCCGGCCCCGCAGCCUGGUGGUGCGGCAGGCACCGGCUGAAAGCUUUACACUUUCUCUCAUGUAAUCCUCACAACGGCUGCGUGUCGCCCUCAUCAUUUAUAACCCUCAAACACUAUCAGCCAGUGUGAACUGGCAGGACCCCUUCGAAAGAGAGCGGGGAGGGGGGUGCAUACAAUUUUUGACCCACAAAAUCCACAUCUAGGAUUUCCUACAGAAGUAAUGGUCUCAGUGUUCAGAUACGUGUGACUGCCACGGUAUCCAAAUAACCCCAAACAACCACCUCCGUGUCCAGUGGAGACUGACGAGCUAAAUCAAUGCACACUGUAAGGCAGAAAAGGAAAACAGCCAUUAAAAAGAACUAGGUGGUUCUUCCA